UAGGGAAUCUUCCGCAAUGGACGAAAGUCUGACGGAGCAACGCCGCGUGAGUGAAGAAGGAUUUCGGUUCGUAAAACUCUGUUGUUAGGGAAGAAAAAAUGUAUAGUAACUAUAUACAAAAGAGACGGUACCUAACCAGAAAGCCACGGCUAACUACGUGCCAGCAGCCGCGGUAAUACGUAGGUGGCAAGCGUUGUCCGGAAUUAUUGGGCGUAAAGCGCGCGCAGGUGGUUUAGAAAGUCUGAUGUGAAAGCCCACGGCUCAACCGUGGAGGGUCAGUGGAAACUAAUAAACUUGAGUGCAGGAGAGAAAAGUGGAAUUCCUAGUGUAGCGGUGAAAUGCGUAGAGAUUAGGAGGAACACCGGUGGCGAAGGCGGCUUUUUGGCCUGCAACUGACACUGAGGAGCGAAAGCGUGGGGAGCAAACAGG
rnacentral:rRNA from 1 species